UACGUAGGGGGCAAGCGUUGUCCGGAUUUAUUGGGCGUAAAGAGCGUGUAGGCGGCCAUGCAGGUCCGUUGUGAAAACUCGAGGCUCAACCUCGAGACGCCGGUGGAAACCGUGUGGCUAGAGUCCGGAAGAGGAGAGUGGAAUUCCUGGUGUAGCGGUGAAAUGCGUAGAUAUCUGGAGGAACACCGGUGGCGAAGGCGGCAUCCUGGACCAACACUGACGCUGAGUGAGCGAAAGCCAGGGGAGCAAACGGG
rnacentral:rRNA from 1 species